CCGUAAAAUUGCAGUUGAUACUGUCAGUCUUGAGUACAGUAGAGGUGGGCGGAAUUCGUGGUGUAGCGGUGAAAUGCUUAGAUAUCACGAAGAACUCCGAUUGCGAAGGCAGCUCACUGGACUGCAACUGACACUGAUGCUCGAAAGUGUGGGUAUCAAACAGGAUUAGAUACCCUGGUAGUCCACACAGUAAACGAUGAAUACUCGCUGUUUGCGAUAUACAGUAAGCGGCCAAGCGAAAGCAUUAAGUAUUCCACCUGGGGAGUACGCCGGCAACGGUGAAACUCAAAGGAAUUGACGGGGGCCCGCACAAGCGGAGGAACAUGUGGUUUAAUUCGAUGAUACGCGAGGAACCUUACCCGGGCUUAAAUUGCAGUGGAAUGAUGUGGAAACAUGUCAGUGAGCAAUCACCGCUGUGAAGGUGCUGCAUGGUUGUCGUCAGCUCGUGCCGUGAGGUGUCGGCUUAAGUGCCAUAACGAGCGCAACCCUUAUCUUCAGUUACUAACAGGUCAUGCUGAGGACUCUGGAGAGACUGCCGUCGUAAGAUGUGAGGAAGGUGGGGAUGACGUCAAAUCAGCACGGCCCUUACGUCCGGGGCUACACACGUGUUACAAUGGGGGGUACAGAAGGCAGCUAGCGGGUGACCGUAUGCUAAUCCCAAAAUCCUCUCUCAGUUCGGAUCGAAGUCUGCAACCCGACUUCGUGAAGCUGGAUUCGCUAGUAAUCGCGCAUCAGCCACGGCGCGGUGAAUACGUUCCCGGGCCUUGUACACACCGCCCGUCAAGCCAUGGGAGCCGGGGGUACCUGAAGUACGUAACCGCAAGGAUCGUCCUAGGGUAAAACUGGUGACUGGGGCUAAGUCGUAACAAGGUAACCA
rnacentral:rRNA from 1 species